rnacentral:ncRNA from 2 species
CGACAGGAUCGAGGGGAUUUGUCUCCGGCUUGCGGCCCUCGCUAAACAUACCGCUAAAGAGGGUGGGGCCCGGCCUGA